GAUGAACGCUGGCGGCGUGCCUAAUACAUGCAAGUCGAGCGAGUGGAUUAAGAGCUUGCUCUUAUGAAGUUAGCGGCGGACGGGUGAGUAACACGUGAGUAACCUGCCCAUAAGACUGGGAUAACUCCGGGAAACCGGGGCUAAUACCGGAUAACAUUUUGAACCGCAUGGUUCGAAAUUGAAAGGCGGCUUCGGCUGUCACUUAUGGAUGAACCCGCGUCGCAUUAGCUAGUUGGUGAGGUAACGGCUCACCAAGGCAACGAUGCGUAGCCGACCUGAGAGGGUGAUCGGCCACACUGGGACUGAGACACGGCCCAGACUCCUACGGGAGGCAGCAGUAGGGAAUCUUCCGCAAUGGACGAAAGUCUGACGGAGCAACGCCGCGUGAGUGAUGAAGGCUUUCGGGUCGUAAAACUCUGUUGUUAGGGAAGAACAAGUGCUAGUUGAAUAAGCUGGCACCUUGACGGUACCUAACCAGAAAGCCACGGCUAACUACGUGCCAGCCGCCGCGGUAA
rnacentral:rRNA from 1 species